ACUACUGUACUAAUGCACUGUUACAUUUGGCGGGCUGCAAUUCUAACGAAGCUGUUAUUGUUGUGCCAUCAAGUUACGGUGGUUCACUGACUGUGUGGUACAACAUCUUAGCUCUUGUCGUUAACAAAUAAACAGCUGUUUGUAGAAUUAGCGAAUGGAAACAUUUUGCCUGAGAACAUUGGGACACCGCGCAGACACUCGUCCCGCAGACCCGUUGACCCACUGGACUCGAUGGUCGUUUUUCCCCCUGCUUAUCUUUUGUCCAAUUCCAAAGGUUCUCUGUGUUGUGCCUCUCGGAGUCUAUCUGCUGUUGUUACAUUCAAGAGCAACAAUGUCACGUUGGGAGGAUAUGAAUAAGGAUGAGCUAGAGAGGCAGUUUUCGCCCAGCCAAUGGUCGCACAGAAUGUCGGCAGACGACGUUAUCAAAUCCCACGUGACGGCGCUCAAAGAAGGUACGGAGCGUGCCCGUGGCCUGGCCCAAACCCUCCUCAACGUUCCCUAUGGAGAAUCAGAGGGGGAGAAACUAGACGUCUAUGUUCCCACCACCACUUCUCUAGGUGUGUGUGUCUGUGAUAUAUCCUGUUUGUCAACAACACACCCUCUCUUGUAUUGUCUUCAACUAGAAGAUGACGAUAGAAUAACAGGAUAAUCAAGUGACACACGUAUAAAUGCAACAUGCAACAAUUUCAAAGAUUUUGGGGAGUUAGAGUUAAUAUAAGGAAAUCAGUCAAUUGAAAUAAAUUCAUUUGACCCCAAUCUAUGGAUUUCACAUGACUGGGCAGGGUCGCAACCAUGGGUGGGCCUGGAAAUCAGCAUGAGUUUUCCUCCACAAUAGGGCUUUAUUACAGACAUAAAUACUCCUCAGCCCCCCUCAGCCCCCCCCAUCACCACAGACAGCCCUCGGGCAUCACCACAGACAGCCCUCAGGCAUCUCCACAGACAGCCCUCAGGCAUCUCAACAGACAGCCCUCAGGCAUCACAACAGACAGCCCUCAGGCAUCUCCACAGACAGCCCUCAGGCAUCUCCACAGACAGCCCUCAGGCAUCUCCACAGACAGCCCUCAGGCAUCUCCACAGACAGCCCUCAGGCAUCUCCACAGAAAGCCCUCAGGCAUCUCCAGAGACAGCCCUCAGGCAUCACAACAGACAGCCCUCAGGCAUCUCCACAGACAGCCCUCAGGCAUCAUCCCUCUGAUGCCAGCUACUGAGACACACACCUUCAUUCUUCAUCUCGUGAUUCAAAUGAAAUAAAAGAAGGGUUUCACUGAAAACAUGAAAACUUAGUUAUUUUCUGUCACUGAUUAUUUGAGAUAUUACAUCACAAUAGUAUUAAAAGGAAGCAUAAACCAAAACUCUCUCCAGAUCUCCUGAUCUAACACCAGUGUACUGCAGCUACAGUAUGUUGUUGAGACCAAAGGGGGUAUACUGUUG